AUUGAACGCUGGCGGCAGGCUUAACACAUGCAAGUCGAGCGGAGUGAUGGUGCUUGCACUAUCACUUAGCGGCGGACGGGUGAGUAAUGCUUAGGAAUCUGCCUAUUAGUGGGGGACAACAUCUCGAAAGGGAUGCUAAUACCGCAUACGUCCUACGGGAGAAAGCAGGGGAUCACUUGUGACCUUGCGCUAAUAGAUGAGCCUAAGUCGGAUUAGCUAGUUGGUGGGGUAAAGGCCUACCAAGGCGACGAUCUGUAGCGGGUCUGAGAGGGUGAUCCGCCACACUGGGACUGAGACACGGCCCAGACUCCUACGGGAGGCAGCAGUGGGGAAUAUUGGACAAUGGGGGGAACCCUGAUCCAGCCAUGCCGCGUGUGUGAAGAAGGCCUUAUGGUUAUAAAGCACUUUAAGCGAGGAGGAGGCUCUUUUGGUUAAUACCCAAGAUGAGUGGACGUUACUCGCAGAAUAAGCACCGGCUAACUCUGUGCCAGCAGCCGCCGUAA
rnacentral:rRNA from 1 species